GAUCCUGGCUCAGAUUGAACGCUGGCGGCAGGCCUAACACAUGCAAGUCGAGCGAGAAAGGUCUUCGGACUGAGUACAGCGGCGGACGGGUGAGUAAUGCGCAGGAAUCUACCUGGUAGUGGGGGAUAACUCGGGGAAACUCGAACUAAUACCGCAUACGCCCUACGGGGGAAAGCGGGGGACCUUCGGGCCUCGCGCUAUCAGAUGAGCCUGCGUAGGAUUAACUUGUUGGUGAGGUAAAGGCUCACCAAGGCGACGAUCCUUAGCUGGUCUGAGAGGAUGAUCAGCCACACUGGAACUGAGACACGGUCCAGACUCCUACGGGAGGCAGCAGUGGGGAAUAUUGCGCAAUGGGCGAAAGCCUGACGCAGCCAUGCCGCGUGUGUGAAGAAGGCCCUUGGGUUGUAAAGCACUUUCAAUUGGGAAGAAGGGUUGCGUGUUAAUAGCACGUAGCUGUGACGUUACCUUUAGAAGAAGCACCGGCUAACUCCGUG
rnacentral:rRNA from 1 species